AAAAUAAUCCUACCCUUUGUGAAUUUUGUUUGUUUGAAUAAUUUUUUUUUUAAAAAAUUAUUGGAGUCUUUCCCUUUAGAGUUUGCUUUUGAGUUUGUAAAAGAAUUCGAAAACAUCUAAAGGGGAUGGUCAAUAAUUUUUUUUGAAAAAGACAUUUUUUAAAAUUAAACUUUUUGUAUUCAUUUGUCUAAAAAUUAUUUUUAUAAUAUAAAAACAACUUUUGACAAUGGAUCUCUUGGUUCUCGCAACGAUGAAGAACGCAGCAAAAUGCGAUAAGUAGUGUGAAUUGCAGAAUACGUGAAUCAUCGAAUCUUUGAACGCAUAUUGCACUUUUUUAGUUUACUAAAAAAGUAUGUCUGUUUGAGUAUCAGUAAAAUAUUCUCAUAAAAAUCAUUGUGUAUUUUUAUGGUUAUGAGUGUUUUACAACGAUACAAGUUGUUUCACUUUAAAUUUUUUUUUAAUAUUGAAAUUUUUCUAAUUUUAAUAAUUAAAAUUGGAUAAAAUUUUCCCGUCAAAAGGAAUAACCUAAACAAUUUUAAAUGAUUAAUUUUAGCAAAAUUUUCGUAAAAAAGGAAAAUUUUUAUUAAAAUAACUUGAUCUCAAAUCAGAUAAGAGUACCCGCUGAACUUAAGCAUAUCAAUAAGCGGAGGAAAAGAAACUAACAAGGAUUCCCUUAGUAACGGCGAGUGAAGCGGGAAGAGCUCAAAUUUGAAAUCUUCAAGGUUUUACCUUGACGAAUUGUAGUUUAAAGAAGUGUUUUCUGCUGAAGUUUUGGUAAAAGUUCUUUGGAAUAGGACAUCAUAGAGGGUGAGAAUCCCGUAUUUGACCAUUAUUUUCAGCUUUGUGAUACACUUUCAAAGAGUCGGAUUGUUUGGGAAUGCAGUCCAAAAUGGGUGGUAAAUUUCAUCUAAAGCUAAAUAUUGGCGAGAGACCGAUAGCGAACAAGUACCGUGAGGGAAAGAUGAGAGAACUUUGAAAAGAGAGUUAAACAGUACGUGAAAUUGUCAAAAGGGAAGCGUUUGACACCAGUGUUGUUUUCUCGAAAAUCAAUUAAAAAUGGCUCGAUUUUGUAUUGCUUGAGACCUUAAAAGCUCACUGUACAUUUUUCGUGUCUUUUUUAAUGCACUUUUCGUUUAACAAGUCAACAUCAGUUUCUUUUGUUGUAAAAGGGUCAUUGGAAGGUGGCUUCUUUUCGGAGAAAGUGUUUAUAGCCUUUGGCCUCUGCAAUCGGAGAGACUGAGGUCUGCAGCGUAGACUCUUCGGGUUAGAUACAUUUGUGCUAAGUUAUAGCUUUUAUAGACAACUUGUUGACUAUAAUUAGCUUGUAGCUUACUCGCUUAUGCUAUUU
rnacentral:misc_RNA from 1 species